rnacentral:tRNA from 1 species
CCUCUCGUGGUGUAGAAGUAACGCGCCUAUCUAGCUAACAGGGAAUCGUGAGUUCGAUUCUCACCGAUAAGA